AGAGUUUGAUCAUGGCUCAGAACGAACGCUGGCGGCGUGGAUAAGACAUGCAAGUCGAACGAGACUUUUCGUUGUAGCAAUACGAUGGAAAGUUUAGUGGCGAACGGGUGUUUAACACGUGGGCAACCUGCCAUGAAGUGGGGGAUAGCUCGCCGAAAGGCGAAUUAAUACCGCAUGUGAUUAGAAAGGACAUCCUUUCGAAAUUAAAGUCGGGGCAACCUGACGCUUCUUGUGGGGCCCGCGGCCUAUCAGCUAGUUGGUGAGGUAACGGCUCACCAAGGCUUUGACGGGUAGCUGGUCUGAGAGGACGACCAGCCACACUGGGACUGAGACACGGCCCAGACACCUACGGGUGGCAGCAGUCGAGAAUUUUUGACAAUGGGGGAAACCCUGAUCGAGCGACGCCGCGUGGAGGAUGAAGGUCUUCGGAUUGUAAACUCCUGUCAUUGGGGAACAAGGUGCAUAUGUUAACUGCGUGUGCAUUGAUAGUACCCGAAGAGGAAGGGACGGCUAACUCUGUGCCAGCAGCCGCGGUAAUAC
rnacentral:rRNA from 1 species